UACAGAGGGUGCAAGCGUUAAUCGGAUUUACUGGGCGUAAAGGGCGCGUAGGCGGCGCAACAAGUCACUUGUGAAAUCUCCGGGCUUAACCCGGAGCGGCCAAGUGAUACUGUCGUGCUAGAGUGCGGAAGGGGCUACUGGAAUUCUCGGUGUAGCGGUGAAAUGCGUAGAUAUCGAGAGGAACACCUGCGGCGAAGGCGGGUAGCUGGGCCGACACUGACGCUGAGGCGCGAAAGCCAGGGGAGCGAACGGG
rnacentral:rRNA from 1 species